UACGGGGGGGGGCAAGCGUUGUUCGGAAUUACUGGCGUAAAGGCGUGCGCAGGCGGUGAUGUAAGACAGGUGUGAAAAUCCCCCGGGCUUAACCUGGGAACUGCAUUUGUGACUGCAUCGCUGGAGUGCGGCAGAGGGGGGAUGGAAUUCCGCGUGUAGCAGUGAAAAUGCGUAGAUAUGCGGAGGAACACCGAUGGCGAAGGCAAUCCCCUGGGCCUGCACUGACGCUCAUGCACAAAGCGUGGG
rnacentral:rRNA from 1 species